GCCAUUAGCAGUCCAGCCUGAUUACUGGGCUCCAUCUGUUACCAAUGGCAACCAGUGCCACUGCCCGCGCUCUGACAGCAUUGUUUCCAUCUGCGCCCACAGGAGAAACUUCAAAUCUUAGAGUUUGAAAUCCUGAAACAACCUUGCAGACACAAUUAAUUAAUUAAUUUUCUUCGUAGGGAUUUUUUGUUUUUUCACCUGCAGCAAGCAAACUGACCCUUACCUUCUGUAGAAGCCAAUUAGCAGUUGGCUUCAAUUAUAACUUGUUCUAUGAAUUGAUAUCUCAGGUCUGUGCUCUUAAACUACGUGCAGUUCCCAGCACUGUGCAGCUUCUCCUUCCAAGACAGAUCUGGCCACGGUAAAUUUACAACUGGUAUUCAUCCUCAUCAAAGUUUUAUUACACCAAAGAAGAAACAGCCAGGCCAGUCUAAGAUAUGACUGACUCUCGUCUGCCUCUACUGUAAUAUAUUGAUCUUCCAGCACAACUGGAGGAACAAAUUCCUAGAUGAUAUACUGCCAGUUUCUUGAGAGAAAGCCUGCUAGCAGCAGCAUGUGUCACAUUAAACUGCCUGGCUGACUUGGAGAUGAAACAGAACCAGCUGGGAUGGAUGGGCUCCCUGGCCAACUCCAGAAGGAGCAAGAUGCCAAUGCAAGAUCCGGCAUUUCUGCCCUAAGCAUCCCACAAGAAACUGAGCACAGGGAGCUCUAGUUGGUACCUUUGUCUCAGGGUUGUUUAGCAACCCUUUUCCAUUCUCUGAAAGGACAACAAGGAAAUAUUUUUUCCUCCCAGGGAAUAUGUGAUGAUGGUCACAAGUGUUAGAGCAUUUCUGUGACAGGAUAAUGACCAUUCACAGCUGAAAGUUACAAACUGCAUAUCAAGUGUCCGGUGGGGUUUGGGAGGCAAUGACGAACAUUAAUUUCAGGACAUUUCUUUUGAAUUCAGGAAGAACUGACUGAGUGAAAAAGGGAUGAAGAUACCUCAAUGAAUUUCCUGCAUAUUGCAACAGCAUUGCGUCUGACCUGGUUUUGGUUUUCAUUAGAGAGCAUUUUUGAUUUGGUUUACAAUGUUUUGAGAAGGAAAUGUUAUCGAUUUUUUUCAGGAACAUAAUAUUGUGGGAUUUUACAUUUAUGAUGCAUUUUUAGUAAAAUCUUUAUUUUGAAAGCAGCAGAAGCAUAUUUCUAAUUUUUUCAUUUUGCUGCAUCUAUGUUAGCUAUAGUAGAAAAUCCAGAGCUGUUGAAGCUCUGCACUGACAUUGGCACAAACUGUCCGGCAGUGGAUAAGUGAAACACGCUGCAAUAUCCAUUACUCUCAUUUUAGCACUUCUAGUAUUUCUGUUCCUUUUGAGGCACAGUCUCUCACAAUCAGCUGAGCCCAUGAGAAACCUCCCAUCAUGGCACCUAAACCUGAUUUAUGUCAGCGUUAGGCCAGUGCCAAUGAGGACACCUCAGCCCCACGUCCCCAAAUAUUGAAGGAAAAUCAGUUUUCUGUAUGGGGAUUUUAUUUUUAUAGAUGAGUAUCUACAUCUGCAUGUAGAAAAGGAAGAAAGGAAGCAAAACAAAGAAUGAUAUAAAGGAAAAAAAAUAUCUGUACUUAAGGCAACCUUAGUAUCUUGAAUAAAACUCUCCGGCAGUUGUGAGAAAACUCUGAGACAAUCAUAUCAAAUGCUAGAUGACCUUCCCCUGUAUAUACUCAAGUUACCUUGGAGUUAACCAAGAUGAUGACAUAACCCAGACAAAUUAUUUAGGCUCCAUUACAGAUGACACUGGAAGAUUUGUAGUUAGUGACAGGGUUUCAUCUUGCCCAUAUUAAAGCACAGAAAAAUGUGGUCAGAGCAGCAAUGAAGCAGAGGAGGAGGAUGCAAUCUUAACAGGAAAGUGAGAUGACCAGCCACAGGAAGAAUGCACAGAAAAUUGUUGCAUUAUGAUAAUGGUGUUUGAUUGAUUUUACAGCAUCCUGCAAAGGAAUCAUAGCAAGACUUUUAGGAGAAAGCUAUAAUAUGUGUUGGCCCCCCAACAAAAAUUUUAUCAUUGGUAUGGAAAGGUAACCUCAAAUUAAGUAGUAAACACUGUCUUUGCAUAAUUCUGAGUAUAAUAGAAUACAAAAUGUGGUGUAAAAUUAAUUUAGAUGUAAUGAAAUCACUGAAGAAACUCUCUCUUGUGGUACAUCAGGACAACUCCAGAGGUGCCAGUUGGCUUGUAGAGGCAAUUUAGCCUGACUGCUUCAGUUUAUCAGUGUUACUGUAUAAAAAGCACUGCUUAUGGUGGGGAUUAGUUGUUGUCUCAUCUCACUUCAUGUUCUGAAUAAUAAAUGUUUAUGCAUGUUGCCUUCAA